rnacentral:rRNA from 1 species
CACGUACCGUGCGAACGUUAUUCGGAAUCACUGGGCUUAAAGGGGUGCGUAGGCGGCGAUUCAAGUCAGAUGUGAAAUGCCUGAGCUCAACUGAGGCAUUGUGUUUGAAACUGAUUUGCUAGAGUAUUUCAGGGGUGUGCGGAACUGCCAGUGGAGCGGUGAAGUGUGUUGAUAUUGGCAGGAACACCGGAGGCGAAAGCGGCACACUGGGGAAUAACUGACGCUGAGGCACGAAAGCCAGGGGAGCGAACGAG